UCAUGAUCUCAUGGUUCCUGGGAUUGAGGCCCCUGGCUCCACACUGACAGCAAGAGCCUCCUGUAGACCAGACUGCCACAAGACCUGGAAGACCAUUCCAGACUGGAGCAAGGCAGCUCUGGCAUCCAUUCCUCCUCUGUGCUCAGCCAUUAAUGUGAUUCAACUACUUUCUGCUCCUGCUGUUACCACUUCCACAGUUAUAAAUAAAUCAAUUCACUCCUACUCUC